rnacentral:misc_RNA from 1 species
GCAUAGUAAGCAUUGUUGUAAUGUCUGAAAAGGCCAAAAACCAGAAAAUCCAUUAGCCAAUAGCCAUUGACUUAAGAUUGCUAAAACCAUGUUUAUGUGAAUUCAUGGCCACAUGCACAUUUAUGAGAAAAAAACUAGUACACUCUGAGAUGAAAAUGAAAAGAAAUAGCAGACAAAUCACUAAAAGCAAAGUGGCUGCACCCUGUGGCAGUCAAUAAACACAGCCAAGUAGGGUAAGGUGUAGGGUCUUUCUUUUUGAUGCCCCAAAUAAAGGGAGGAUAGCUAGCCAGUGAUUUUUUUUAAAGAAAAUGCAUGAGCUUGAUUGAGCUGUCACCGACUCUAUCUCUCUAUAAUGAUAAUGACACAUGCUUUCAAUAUGCUCCAGAUUGAUGGAACUUACAGGCAUGCCUAUAUGGACAGAGAAAAUAACACCACAAACUUAGGUGUGGUUUUCACAUGGUUGUCUUCUUUUCCUUGGCAAUUCCUAAUUCAAACCUCUAUACAUUAGCUGCUGAGUUUGUGCAACACUACAUAACUAAGAUGAUUUUACCAAAUUGGCCUUAUGCUCUGUUACUGUUGGGCCCAGAAUUCCAGAUCAUAACUAUCUCUGGAAAUAAAGUAAAUUCCUACAAGAAGAAUGAUUAAAACUAAUAAAUCACACACAUAGGAAACAAAAUCAGCAUUUAUUAAGCAAGAUUCAAGAAUGUUUUGUAUUAAUUAGGGGUAGAUCCUGGUUUAACCAAAACUACUAACACAAUUUACUUGUCAUGCAGAAAGAAAUAGAGAGAUCAUCGAACUUUAAUCCACAGGGAAAACCCAGAAUGAUAAAGUUUUCAAGAAAACUUACAUGUCAUCCAAGAACUUGACAGAG